CCUACGGUAGGCAGCAGUGAGGAAUAUUGGUCAAUGGACGAGAGUCUGAACCAGCCAAGUAGCGUGAAGGAUGACUGCCCGAUGGGUUGUAAACUUCUUUUAUAAAGGAAUAAACCGAGGCACGUGUGCAUUUUUGCAUGUACUUUAUGAAUAAGGAUCGGCUAACUCCGUGCCAGCAGCCGCGGUAAUACGGAGGAUCCGAGCGUUAUCCGGAUUUAUUGGGUUUAAAGGGAGCGUAGAUGGGUUGUUAAGUCAGUUGUGAAAGUUUGCGGCUCAACCGUAAAAUUGCAAUUGAUACUGGCAGUCUUGAGUACAGUUGAGGUAGGCGGAAUUCGUGGUGUAGCGGUGAAAUGCUUAGAUAUCACGAAGAACCCCGAUUGCGAAGGCAGCUUACUAAACUGUGACUGACAUUGAUGCUCGAAAGUGUGGGUAUCAAACAGGAUUAGAUACCCCAGUAGUC
rnacentral:rRNA from 1 species